CUUUAAUGUUCACGUAUGUUUAUUAAGGAGGGAUUAUCGCUCUCAAUCUCUCUGACUGAACUCUGUUUAAAAGUACAGUUUAAAAUAUCAAAGAGCCAACAGGAAGUCAGCAGUUCAGCCAGAGGAGGACUCAAAUACACUAAUAAUGUACAAUAAUAAUAAUAAUAAUAAGGCUCUGUGGGCAUUAAAACAUGGAAGUCUGACAAUCUGUUUGGAGCAGCUUUCAUUAGAAUGAAUGAAUUUAGUUAUACAACCUUUGCAGCAUGAAAACAACACGUUCAUCUGCAGCAUUCAGCAGCAGCAGCACGUGAGGAGCAAGCUGCCAACGUGUUCAUCCUGAUUAGACCUCACAGGUGUUUUCACUUCAGGUUCAAUCUCAAAACGGUUUGCAGCGUUUUCUGAUUGAACGACAUGUUUCCUUGCAAACGUUGUGCAACAUUCUGCAACGGGCUUCGAGGUAUGUUUUCUCCCGUUUGGUGGGCAUUUUCAGGUGUUACUCAAUCAGAUGCGACAGGUUUGUAAAUACAACGGUGUUAAAAAGGCAGGAAAAUGCAACGCGCUUGCGUCCACAGUCCUGAGUCUAACCAGCCAAAACUAUUGGAAACACCAGUGGCCUGUACUAAGAAGCGGGGUAACUGGCUUAUCCAGGUACCUUCAGGAGUAACUUUGUGACGUCGGGUGUAACUUCCCGAUUAACCUGUACUACAAAAGGUGGACAGGUUUUACCCGAGGUCUGCUGUCAUGGUUUACGCCUGCGUGCAGGUCAUCUUCGUGGUUAACCCGAGGUUAAAUAUUUUUAACUUGUUCCUGAACUCACCCUGCAGCCGAGCUGCGAUUCAGGGAGGAGAUCUGAAUUCAUUAACAGGAUGGUUUCUCAGAUGGAGCCCAUCGAACUGAAUGAUUCUAAAUGUUUUCACAUAUUUAGAUUAAUUUACGUGUCCAGAAAAUACGGAGCCAGGGUGGGGGGGGUAAUCUGAUGAAGGUCUUCUGAAUACGCCCAGUAAAGUCUCUAAAGUCCCAGUGUGUGUAAUAAUCUGGUGGAAUAUGUUCCACUGCAGAGGUGUGUGAUGUUGCAGCUGUGCAAAGUGAAGUGAUCCUUUUAAAUAAAUAUUUAUAUUUUAUAGGUCUCAGUGACUCAGUUUGCUGCACAAAACGUUUUCGCUUACUUUGUUUAACUUUUCAAUUUAAAAUUCAAAUCCUGAAAUAAGUGUGGCUUUUGUUUCUGCUGCUGAAACAUUUGGAGGAAAACUUCAGACUCUCUCUCGGACCUAUGCCGGUAAGAUUUUCAAAAUAAAACUAGUGGUUACCGCUGCAGUUUGGUUAGGUUUAUGCGACCUGCGUCGCAGCCCCCCUGCCGUGACUCCUGCUGCAUGGGUUUUGUAUAUUUUUGUGCUUUGGGAUGUCUGCAGCAGCUUUGUGUCUCUCUCUGCGCUCGGUUUCCCUCUACAUGCUCUGGAGCGAGUUGGUGGGCGUGGCUCCUGUGUUCCCCUGUCAGCACCUUCACACACGUUUUGCACUGGUUUGCAAUGUUUUUCAGAUUGAACGACAUGUUUCCUUGCAACGUUCCGCAACGGGUUUCGAGGUAUGUUUGGUGGGCGAGUCUCAGGUGUCACUCAAUCAGUCCGUGAACACAACAGUGUUAAGAAUGCAGAGAAAUGCAGUGCGCUUGCGUACACAACAGGGCGUUCAACAAACCACCCUUUCCGACGUUUUGUCGGCGCUGAACUCGCCCCUGGCCCGACUCGCCACUCUGCCCGCCUGCUCGUCAUCCUGCCCAUCAGCCUCCUUACCAGCCUUCCAGUCUCUGCGUUGUAUCAGAGUGUGAAUGCACGCCAGCCAACCAGUCAACCAGAGACGGAUGUUGGAAGUUUGAGAGUUUGCCUGCCUGGCAGUUGUGUCAUCGCUAAUCUGUUUAUCUCCAGGAUUCACCACCUGACCACCAGCCAACCCCUGAACUCCCCGAACCACUUGUUAUGAUUGGACGCCCCCUCUCCUGCCAACACCGAGCGACCCACAUUCCCGAACACCUGCCCCCACUCACCUGCAGCUGCUCUGCCUCUCUUGUUCCCUUGUUAUUAUUUAAUAAAAGAUCUCCGUUUCAUCCUGACACCAAAACUACUUGGAUGAAAGUCCGGUUUCUGACCCAUCCAUCCAACCUUCUACUCAGGCUUUUCUGUUCCUUAUACUCGGCCUAUUUUAAAGUUAAAGGCCAGACGUCGACGGACGUGACAAAGCUUAGCUAUUAGACGCCCUAGGAUUAAGAAGCUGCUGGUUGUUUCUUGCUAAAUUCUUUUAUUGUGAAGCAAUUUGGAACUUUUCUUUUACGUUUUGAAAAAUCCUAACUCAUUUGUCUCCUGAUGCGCAAAGGAGCAGACACUUUCUGUGCUUGUGUCUUCUGUCAGUGUGUCCUCAACAGAACACGCUGAUUUAUAACCUGUGUGUCUGUGAUGCUGUGAUUUAGAUUUACUUGUGGAGACGUGUGAAUCACAGAUCUGUUAGAGCUGCAGGACAAAAUCCGUAAAACGAAGCCUCUGAGUGAAGUCGAGUGUUGAUCUUCAGAGAGUUACUGAGCCACAGGAGGAGUGUUGUUUUACGGCGAUAUGAAAGUGUGUGAAGCUGGAGGUGAGACGCUGACAGACCCGGAGAGGCCUUGAGCUCCUGCAGCUGCCGAGCGUCCACGCAGACACAGAGACAUGGAGCUGAUUAAAGCUUCUUCAGGAUCACUUUACACUCCCGGUGGUUUCACACGCUGAUGCAUUUCUCCUCGCCGCAGGGACGCUCGCAUUUAUCUGGCUGGAGGGAAAAACCUGCAGAAUGUAUACGGGACAGGAUUCAAACUUGCUGGGAAAUGAAAGCUUGUUUCUGGAAGUACACUUUUGUGUUUUUGUUGAACGAACUGAAUGAAGAUCAGAUGGUGUAACAGAAGUGGGCGGGAAGAAGGCUGACAUCAUUGUUAGCGUUGUUACUGCUCCGCCCGGCGAGCACGCUGAGUGAAACAAAUCAAACACACCUGACCAACUGGUGCAUGCUGGGUCUGACCAACCUUCACCUCCGUCUUUUCUUU